rnacentral:rRNA from 1 species
AUUGAACGCUGGCGGUAUGCUUAACACAUGCAAGUCGAACGGUAACGACAGAGAGCUUGCUCUCUGGGCGACGAGUGGCGGACGGGUGAGUAAUAUAUAGGAACCUUCCUCAUAGUUUGGGAUAACUACUCGAAAGAGUGGCUAAUACCGGAUGUGGACUACGGUUUAAAGCAGGGAUCUUCGGACCUUGCGCUACGAGAUGGGCCUAUACAAGAUUAGCUAGUUGGUGAGGUAAAUGCUCACCAAGGCACGAUCUUUAGCUGGGUUUGAGAGGGAUGACCAGCCACACUGGGGACUGAGACACGGGCCCAGACUCCUACGGGGAGGGCAGCAGUGGGGGGAAUAUUGCACAAUGGGGGCNCAAGCCCUGAUGCAGCCCAUGCCCG